CCUGUGGCUUCUCAGCGAGUGGCCGGGAUUUAAUCACCGACGCCACCAGUGCCGCUACAACCGUCCUUGCAGGACGUGGCCUACGAGAGCAUCACGGCUCUUUGCCAUUUGUAUUGCCGGAGGUGUAUGUGCCAGCCGGGGCUGCAUCUCCCAUUACUGAGAAAAGCUUUAGCUUGGCAAGGCGUACGAGACAGGAGCGUUCGCUCAGAUGCUUUCCCAACGAGGAAGCGCGACAGCACAAGCCAAGGCCAGAGGACAAUGACCUGGACAGCUCCACUCAUGGCCAAUGGCUCUUGAUUACAAGAUCGAGCUGGCUGCUAACUUUGUGCUUUCCACUGCUGCGAGUGCUGGGAUGACGAUGGGAUCUGCCAGGAGCUCAGCGAGGGAACCUCUGCUCCACGUUGGCUACAGCCUACCUGAAUAACCCGGCUGGACUGUGAGCCAGGUCCUCAGCUGGUGGAAGUCAGCAUCCUUUUCCUGACAUCAGUGGAGCUGAGAGUCUGUCUCUGAGCGAGCCUGCGCUUCGUGCUUUCUUUCUGGGGCUGCUUUUCCCUCCUGCGAUGUCCCUCGGGCAGGGAGCGGGGUGGUGUCCUUGCAGCGCACGUGGGGCUGAUUUUGGCAGCACGUUCAAGGGACCGUCCACUCCACAUGCUGCAAAUACACUGAGGCCUCUCAGCCAUCGUCUGCCUCCAGUGACUUCCUUCCACCCCUCGGGCACAGGCGCGUUCCCACGACCGGGUCCCAACGAGGCUGUCCAGAGCAUCCACACCAUAUAGGUGAGCAAGUUGCAUCUGGGCCUCGGUUCAAAGACCUGGGGCUUUCUGUUUAACAGCAAAUGCUCCCACGUGUCAGAGCUCCUGCAUUGCCUCCCUGCUGCCUGACCACCCAGGGCUCGGCGUUACACCGCUCCUGUCUGCAUGGCUGCGCGUGGAGCGUGCGCCGAGGCUUGCCUGGGCACCGCUGAUUCGUGACCGGUUCGUGCUCCAGUCCUUGGCCCCAAAGAAACUAUUCCUUUGGUUCUUUGUUUCCCAGAGGAGCAAGGGACCGCCGGUGGCCUCCACGCAGGAGGGCCCAGCUCCUCUUCCCCCGUCCCUCUUUUUCUUUCUCUGCUGAGUGAGAGAAAAAGCCCUGCAGAAGAGCCUGUCCAAUUUUCACAGGCUGACACAUUAGUGGAGGAGAGAUCCCCUCCCCCUGAAGUCACCACUGUGUGUAAGUGUUUUAUUGUUAGCCUGUUGAGGUGCGAAUGAAGUAAUGGGCUUUCUCUGUCACUUCAUCCGUCUCCGGCUGACAGCUCUGCUUAGACACAUUGUGCUGUUCUGUAUAAACCCUGUCACCUUGCCAUCUCCGAACAGGCAGCUUCCUCUGGGAAACUGUAAUCAAGCCCUCCUGGGCACUCAGCUCGCACUGUCUGCGGCUCGUAAAUCACGGCUGCUUUCCCGGAAAGUCCGGAGAGGAGACGGACGGAUCGACACGCAUGUGCACGUGCACGCGCGCUCGCUCGCAGGGCCGCGCGAAGCUCGGACGGCUCGUGGCAGGGACAGCCGGGCACGGUGGGUUUGCACCAUUGCAGGCACUUGGAUGGGCCACAAUAUCCUGAGCUAAAAAUGUUCGGUUUGCCAUUGCAUGUCCUGAGCAGUGGACGUUAAGCAGGCACGCGUGGCUGGGCUGUGCCCUGGCAGGCACGUACCGUGCAUUUAAGGCGUGGAAGAGUAGGUGCUCAGAAGUGGAUGACGAGACGGUGUCAGAUGGGGCAGAGGGCUCCCAUGUUUGUGGCUGGGGCACUUACGUAGGACAUGGGCUAGCCUACGUCUAUCCCAGCCGUGCAGUUGGUCCCAUAAAGGGGAUCCCCAGCAGAAAGCCGCGUCUCUUGGGGGGUUACCUCUUGGAAGGCUGUCUCCAGCAGGUCUCCUUCCCUUCCCACCCCCGGCAGCCAGGAAAUCCAUGUGCCACAAGCAGAGCUGCUGUCUAACCCCCUCGGCAGCUGAAGAAGUGUACGUGAGGCUUUUCAUCAUCCACCUGGGUCUAAACAGCACGUCAGGCAGCAGACAGACCGCUGCCAUUAACAACCCAUAACGUCGGGAGCCACUCAGUGGUCGGUGGGGCCUCUCCAGGGGUCUCAUUUGUCUUGGAGAUGACACUAGCCCUCUUUCAGCCCGGGGUCUGGGAAGGCUUGCCCCUGCCUGCCGCUUCCGUCAUUAAUCACCGUUGCUUCUUUGGUGCCUAUCCGCUCUUCCAGGAGCCACCGAGCGCUGAGGAAGCCAGCCCGAGCAGAGAGCAAAUGGCCAGCAUGGCUGGGGCAGUGUCCUCAUGCCAGCGUGGGGGAGAGGGAUCCUCCUCCUGCCCCGGGGAAACUUUCCUGAGCGCUGCAGGUCCUGCGCUCCUCGGGUCACAAGGCCCCUGGAUACCAUCUGCAUGCUGCCCACAUGCAGGCCAGCAUCCCAGAGCCCAGGAGGAGUGUGUACAGGACCAGGGAGCUCUCCUGGCCUGGCCUGGGAUGCAAACAGCCUCUAUUUUUGCCAGCAGGAUGCAAAUGUACAUCUGUCCCCACUGAGCACAGCCCAGCUUCAAUUGUGUUUCUUUAGCUUCUACCUCCUGCCCCAGGAGUGACCGGUGACUUCCAGUCUGUCCAGCUUAGAGCCGAGCUGGUUAAAUCAAACGAAGAUACUGAUUGUGGUCCUUUGGUGCCUGAAGAUUCGUUCAGCUUCCAGGUAGUGGGAGAAACCUUGUCGAUCCCAUCAUUUCCCAGAUUUUAGUAGAAAAGUUUAUGCCUCCAAAAAAUUGCAUCAGAAAGUAUAACGUGAUUCAGAGGGAGAAAUGCUAAGCACAAGCAUACCACGCAUCAUUGCUUAUCAUAUUCUGCGGGCAUUUCAGUCACCCAAGCAAGGAGUAGCAGCACGUGCCCAAGCGCAGAGCACAAAUUAGGAAGACCGUGCAAACAGCCCAGACAUCGCUGGAGGCGAUUCCCUCGCGCUAUUCAGCAUGUGCUGACAAGGAGUAAAUCCAGCCAAAGGGACUGGGUUGACUUCAGGAACCUUUUGCCCAGCGGAAAUGGGAUCGUGCUGGUGAAGUGUGCAGUGGCGAUAUCCAUUUCCUGAUACCUGAAAUGGUGAUCAAGGCGCCAAGGGCCAGGUCAGGGACACAGGUGAUUGUCCGAGGGUAGAGUCGAGUUGUGAAAUGCUAGAGGAUUUUUACUGUUAUGUGUCUCUCUGUAAACCCCAGCAGCAUAAUGCCAGGGCUUUGCUUCCCUUCUCUGAGCCCCUGGCAGAGGGGCUGUGCUGGGCUGCGACAGAGGUGGUGCAGCCCAGGUCCAAAGGACGGGGUAGCGUCGGCCUGCAAAACGCGGGAGCCAGCAAUAGAAAGAGAAAGAGCAUGAGUGCAAACUCUUGCUCCAGAGUAGCUGGCUGGGAGACAGGGAUCUGCGCUGCGAUGAUGGAGCUUCAGCUACUAACAUAAAUAGGAGAGAAGGGAAGGGAGCUGAGUGGGAGUCUUGGCAUGUCCAUGAAAUACAAGAGGACAUUAUGCCUCAUUUAGGAGACUGCAGCGGCCGGCUGAUAUUAAACUGGAGCAUGGUGCAUUAACCUGGGAUUAGGAGAAGAAUAACGAUCAGCUGUCCAGCCCUGUCAUCCCUCACCGUGACGGGCACUCGGAGAACUCGCCUUUAUGAUCCUGGAAGCUCAGCCAGGCACAAUAGGGAAGGAGCGGUUGCUCUAACACAAUCUCACCCGAGGCGGCUGCCAGGAGAGGAGCCAUAGCCAGCGAAAGGAAGUGAGCCCAGACCCCGUAUAUCCAGCCCGACUCAGGAAACCAUCAGCAUGAUAUGCAGCUCUCAUUAAAGGGGAAUAAACGGAGCAGAGAAUUCAAACAUAAAUUUGGCUUUGCUGAUUUCAAACUUUACACAAGCUCUCCGACCGGACGGGUUCCCCACGGACCCCGUGCCGAGCUCUGUACUGUCUCUGAUUUAUAA